rnacentral:misc_RNA from 1 species
UCAACCCUCAAGCCCCGGCUUGGUGUUGGACUUGGCCCGGGAGUUUACACCCCCAGGGCCGGUCCCAAAGGCAAUGGCGGGCGUUGGAGAACCCCCCGGUACAAUGAGCUUUCCAAGCACGUACCGACGGCGGGUCUCCGGGCCUCGGUCUUUCAUUAUUUUAUCAA